rnacentral:rRNA from 1 species
AAUGAACGCUGGCGGCAGGCCUAACACAUGCAAGUCGAACGAGUGGCGGACGGGUGAGUAACGUCUGGGAAACUGCUUGAUGGAGGGGGAUAACUACUGGAAACGGUAGCUAAUACCGCAUACCAUCAGAUGUGCCAAGAUGGGAUUAGCUAGUUGGUGGGGUAACGGCUCACCAAGGCGACGAUCCCUAGCUGGUCUGAGAGGAUGAACAGCCACACGGGAACUGAGACACGGUCCAGACUCCUACGGGAGGCAGCAGUGGGGAAUAUUGCACAAUGGGCGCAAGCCUGAUGCAGCCAUGCCGCGUGUAUGAAGAAGGCCUUCGGGUUGUAAAGUACUUUCAGCGGGGAAGCGUUACCCGCAGAAGAAGCACCGGCUAACUCCGUGCCAGCAGCCGCGGUAAUAC